CAAAGAAUCAUAACGCCAAGAAUCGAGGCGGACGGUAGCCGAGAUACGAUAUAUUGCCAGAGAGAAACCGCUUCUCAGUCAGUAUGAUGGACAAAUACGUGCUUCUCUUUACUUUUCUUGCUGUCUGGGCGUUUAUGGGAUCUACAGUCCUCUCGGCGCCUCCGCUAUCUACGGAAGAAUCGCAGAAAUGCUUUGACUGUAUCUUGGCGUUCUUUGAAGACUUCGUAAGUGCCUUGAAGAAUCUAACGAGGGCUAGCUGAUGAUGGGACCACCUACAUGCAGUUCGCUUGGAGACAAAUCAGUGUCAACACGAGGAUGGCUAUAACUCCUUUACUAUUCUAAAAGUCUCUAAGACGAACUUCUGAAAUUGUUAUAGAAUAAAAUACAUCACUUUUA